CCACCAUAAAGCUAUUUUAUGAGUUGCUUUGUAAUUAAUAAGUAUCUUGAAGAAAGAUGUUGAGAUGAUAUAAGUCUCCUGGAAUCCUGAUGACAUGCACCCACUGGCUUUGGCAUUCCUUGAAGGAAAAUCUCCACUUUUAUUAAGGUUUUCAGGGGAUUCUGGCAGCCCCUGCCUGGCUGGUCUGUGCAGCAGUUCUGGGAACCUCGGCACUCCCUGCACAGUGAGAUUCCUGAGGCUUUGAUCUGUCCCUCUGGGCAGAUUGAGGAGCUUUGAUCUGUCCCUCUGGGCAGAUUGAGGAGCUUUGGUCUGUCCCUCUGGGCAGCCCCAGCAUUUGGCCCACUGUCUGGUUCACAGCAGGGUCCAAUGAAUGAGUGAGGAAAAAGAGAGUCAGAGGCAACUGUGUGUUCCCUCUGGGGUUCUGUGUCAUUAUUGGUAAAACGAGGGUGAUAACUAGUUACAAUUUUGACAUUUCAUGAUUGUAUAAGUUUCCACGUCCCCCACUGAGGUGGUUAAUUCCAUUAUACAAUGCUUUCUUCCACAUAGUAGACUGGGGUUAUUUGUGUCAUUGAAAAAAAAUAAAAAGAAACCAAGAUAUAUUCCACAGCUCAACACAAGCCAUAGGAUGUGAAGGUUGGAAUGAGUUCGUUCAGAUUCGUUCAUUCAGCAGAUAUUCAUUGCAUGCCUUCGGUGCACCAGGUGCUGCCACAGAGGUUGGGAAUCCACUGGUCACAGCGGAUAUGAUCCAGCCCCAUGGAGCGUGCAGCCCAGCAAGGCUAAGAACUGCCCCUUUUCUCUGUUCUAGUCUAGCAGUUGCUGAUGAGCGAGGACAGAUGCCCAGAAACAAUACCUCACCGCUAAUCCUGAUGCAGAUAUGGCCCAGGCACCUCUCAGGAGAUGAGCAAAGCUGUACGAUGUCCAAAAAGGAGCUCCCAGGAAGAAAGCCAUCUGACGAGGAAGAAUAUUCCUGAGCAAGACACAGGGUUUUCACCCUGAUAGAUGGAAUCUGAGCUACCUUCAAACUUUUAAGGGGGGACUAUGGUGACCGCCAGGAGAGGAGUCCCAGUUGAGCCAUAUGGACCAGGGAUGGCGGACAGGAAAGUUUGUCAGUGGGGCUGAUGCACAGAUGGGGUGCACGAGCUCCUCACUGGGGAAAUUUUGUGGGGGAAGGAUGCCCUCAUAGCUCAAACGUUCAGCUCACUCAAGAGUGGGCCAGAGCUAACAGCUAUCACUGUACUCACAGCUCCCAGGCCUUACUGAUCCAAUGGUCUCUUCAGAGAUUUAUGGCUCAGCUCCCAGGAACAAAGAUGAUUUUAUGUAAAUAUUUAUGAAAUUCCUCCCUCUUUCCUUUCCCUCCUGCCUCUCUCUCUCUUCCCUCCCUCCCUCCCUUCCUUUCUUCUUUCCUUCCUUCACUCCUUUUUGCCUGCCUGCCUGCCUUUCUCUUUUUUUCUUUCUUUAGAAAGAGGGAUUUAUAAUUCUUUUCCAAGUAAUGUGGGGACCAUACCAUGAAGAAGACAUUCUUCCUUUUGGUCCUCUGACUCCGAAUGCAACCUCAUUCAUUCAUUCAUUCAUUCAUUUGGUCAGUAUUUGGAGUGCUGUUGAUAGGGGUGGGGUCAUAUAGCCCUCACAUCUAGGUAAGUAGCCCCAACACAGCAAUAGGUGAAAUUUAAAAAAACACAACCUGAUUAAAUUCCAAAGUGGAAAGUCUAUACCAGUGUUUUUUAAACUAAUUCCCCAUGAAAAUCACUCGGGAAACUUUUAAAAAAUACACAUUCCCAAGGUUCAGGCCAGAAUCAGAAUCUCUAAUUUUUAGCUUUAAAAAAAUGUUACAAACUUCGCAGGAAAUUUUUAUGUAGCUUGCCCAGUACUGCACUGUGAAUUGGUGUUCAGAAAAUAUGGUAGAUGAGAGACCACCUCUGUGAAGUUGAGGAUGUAGUGAUAUCUGACUAGCGGAGUUGUCAUGCUCACCUAGCAUGCUAAUGAGGACAGUGUCAGAGGAGAGAGCUGGCCCUAGGCACCAGACAGACACAGAGAGCCAUUUACUUACUCUUGCAGAUUCCAAAAGUCAAGACUCAAAAAUCGCACUUCUUCUCUCAAUGCCUGGAAGUGAUGAUUGAGACCUGUUGUACUUUUAUUUGGUGCUAGGGGCUACUGUGGAACUUCAGUCUCCAUACUUGCCUGUUAAAGUUCCUUCUGUUUUCCUUUUUACCCAAAUUCACUUGUGUAGGGCAAUGAUACUACAAGAGCAGUGCUCUAACCCCUGAGCUAUGGAGCCCCUGCCUGGGCAAUGAUAUAAAAGACUGGCCUCAAAGCUGUGGCAGACUCUCGAAAAUUAUUGGAAAAUAACUCAAUAAUAACAACACAGUCCUACUUCAAACCCUGUGUUCCCUAAGAGUGCUUUAUUCCCUCAAAGUAUUUUCAAAGUAUCUGUCAUUGCUUUGGGGUAGGCUUUUAUCACUAGCAUCUUCAUAGCUGACACUUCAUUUCUGGCCUUUUGGCUUUUUUGUAUGUUUAGUCAUACAUGCAGGUCAUACCACCAUAGCAACUCACUCAAAAUAACUCACUUAGGGUGACUGCACAGAGAGUCUCUCUCAGCUAUUUUAGUAAUAACACAAUAGCAACCCACGUUAGUGCAGCUGGGCUCCUUAAAUAUUCCUUCCUAAGUCAUGUAGUACACAUUUUAGAAGCCACAUUAAAGUACCAAAAUUACCCACAAACCGUUUAUUGCUACAGUUCACUCCCGUAUUUUCUUCUCAACCUGUGGGUAAAGAAAGACAUAGAUAAAUUCAUCUGAUGCUUUAAAGUGGCAGAGCUAUAAAUAUCUGAUUUUUCUCUGUGUUUUGAAAAAUUGAAUAGUCAUAGAAAAUUCUUAUAACAGUAUUUACAUAAGUGAGCACUUCCUCUUUCCUUUCUUCCCCCUCGCUCUCCGUAUCCUUCCUCCUUCCUCCCCUCCCCCUUUCCUUCCUUCCUUUUUUCCUUCCUUCUUUCCUCUCUUUCUUUACUAAAUAUCCAUAUUAUGCUAGGUAUUGUUUUAGAUUCCAAGCCAGACACAAAGGUAAACAAAAUAUAGUCAUUGCUCUCAAAUGUCUCACAGCCUUCUGAAUCUUUUGAAGAGGAAAACCUGAGAAUUAUAUAAAAUUGUUUCAUUAACAUAAGAGAAUCUGAAGAUGGCACAGAAUGUUUUGGGGGAUGCUUCCUUGAUUCCUAGUUCCUUUCUCUGUAGAUUCUUCCUGUUCAAGGCACAGGCGUAGACAGUCAUGAGAUGCCUGGGUCAGAAACAUAAGACUUUAAUACUCACAGCAAUAGCAGUAGGCAGAGUAUCAGCAGUUGUUCAUAUCUGUCCUGAGCCCCAAUUUCCAUAGGGCGUGUGAAGAAGGCCAGAUGACACUUAUUCACAUAGUGACUUGCAUUAUAGGAGGAGAUCCCUGAGCUCAGAGAACCCAAAUCUUUCAUGAUGGGCAGUAAGUUUGCCUGCCCUUUUCUCCAACAGCAGGUAUUAAUUCUGUUUUUCAAGGCUGGUCACUAUACAUGGAGAAUUCUUUCCCAAUCCUCUUGCCUCUUACCUUUCUUUUUGUUUGUUUGUUUCUUUCUUUCUUUCUUUUUCUUUCUUUCCUUCUUUCUUUCUUUCUUCCUUCCUUUCUUUCUUUCUUUUUUUUUUUUUUUUUUUUUGAGACGGAGUCUCACUGUUGCCCAGGCUGUAGUGUAGUGGCGUGAUCUUAG
rnacentral:lncRNA from 1 species